rnacentral:rRNA from 1 species
GUGGGGAAUCUUGCGCAAUGGGCGAAAGCCUGACGCAGCCAUGCCGCGUGAAUGAUGAAGGUCUUAGGAUUGUAAAAUUCUUUCACCGGGGACGAUAAUGACGGUACCCGGAGAAGAAGCUCCGGCUAACUUCGUGCCAGCAGCCGCGGUAAUACGAAGGGGGCUAGCGUUGCUCGGAAUUACUGGGCGUAAAGGGCGCGUAGGCGGACAGCUUAGUCAGAGGUGAAAGCCCAGGGCUCAACCGUGGAAUUGCCUUUGAUACUGGCUGUCUUGAGUUUGGGAGAGGUGAGUGGAACUCCGAGUGUAGAGGUGAAAUUCGUAGAUAUUCGGAAGAACACCAGUGGCGAAGGCGACUCACUGGCCCAAUACUGACGCUGAGGCGCGAAAGCGUGGGGAGCAAACAGGAUUAGAAACCCGGGUAGUCC